ACCUCGGAUACGGCGGCUACCCCGUGGCUGCUCCCUUGUCCUCUUACUACUCCACCGUCCACCGCACUCCAGUUGUUUCUACCCUCGGCUACGGUCAUGGACUUGGCUACGGCUAUGGUCUCGGUUAUGGCCACCGCCUUGGCUACGGCUAUGGUCUUUCCGGCUAUGGACUUGGCUACGGUUAUGGACUCGGCCAUCUUGGCUACGGUCGUUUCUACUAGAAGUAGUCCAGACAUCUGACAACACCGAAUCAGGAUCCUCUGGGCCUGCUCUCAACGCCACCUGCACUGACGUUGGACUGAAAUAAACAUAACACUCUUAUUCAUUUA